GGGGUUGAAUGAGACCUCAUAUUUUUUGAAUGUAAUAUUUUUUUAAAAAAUAAAAGAAAAAAAAUGUAUCCAUCAAAUGCAAUGGCUGUGCCACAAUGAUGAAAGAGGUUGUUUACGUGGGAAGAGUGGGUUAAGGGGGGUAGGGGUUAUAGGAGAACCUCUUAUAUUUUUUUAAUGUAACAUUUUACAAAAAAUAAACAGAUCAUAGAAAAAAACUCUCUAAAAGCAAAAGGAAGAACAGAAGGCUUCCUGCUUCGUAAUCGAAUGCACGCACCCAGGGUGGGACUCCCUGAGAUCUUGAGGUUUCCUUAUCUGACCUCCAUCCCCAACCCUCCUGAUAGACAGAGAAACUCUGACUGCGUGUUCCUAUUUUGUCCAUGACGCCUACAUACCAGUGGGAAAAUCAGCCUCCAGAGACCAUGGAGGAGACCAGCCCAGAACUGAUGUUGCCCAGGGAGAGAAGGCAGGAGGAGCAUGGCCAGCUUCUGGGGAAAUUUGGACGUUUCCCCUGCAGGCCGCAGGCCUUGUCUGUCACCAGGUGUGAAAGAAACAUCCGUGUCGUGGAUGGGAAUAGAAGAGGCCUGACACAAGUAAAAAUUGAAAUCUCCUGCUUCCGGGGCGCCUGGCUGGAACGCUGCACAGCAGAUACCUUUCCCAUCGCGGUCUCUUCCAUCCUCAGCGCUGUGGUUUGCAGAAUAGACGUGAACAUCGUGGGGUCAGCUCCAAGGUCAGGUCCAGCGGCCACAGCCUGGCCAGCUCUCCCUCCUGCUCAUUCCGCUUCUGAGAUGUUUGAAGGAAAAACCGCAGGGGCACAUGUGAGGCUGGGCUCAGUGCCCGCACCGGCUCCAUCGUCACCCGGCACAGAACGGUCACCUGAGGAGGUCGCGCCUGCCCAGGCAGCACAGGAGGCUGAAGCUCCACUUCUCCAGUGUGGGCCAGAGGAAGGACAGGAGGCUUCUCUUCCUUCCCUCGAGACUGCCUCCGGGGUUUUUCUGUUAACUUUUUUGAUUGUGUAUUUAUUUUAUGGAUAUUUUUAUUUCCUAGUUUGUUAUAAAUAUUAAAUAUUUGUUAUCAUUAC
rnacentral:lncRNA from 1 species